GAACAUCCUAAACCCCCAUAAACACAGAACGGGGGCCUCCUCUGCUCCUGGGGGUGGGGGGGCUCUGCUUCUGGAGCUGUCCAGGGGAGCCCCUUCCCUCCUGUGACCCCACAACUAACUGAAAACAUCCUAAACCCCCAUAAACACAGAACGGGGGGCCUCCUCUGCUCCUGGGGGUGGGGGGUGGGGUCUGUUUCCGGAGCGCUCCAG